rnacentral:rRNA from 1 species
ACCCGCUGAACUUAAGCAUAUCAAUAAGCGGAGGAAAAGAAACCAACAGGGAUUGCCCUAGUAACGGCGAGUGAAGCGGCAACAGCUCAAAUUUGAAAUCUGGCGUCUUCGGCGUCCGAGUUGUAAUUUGCAGAGGGCGCUUUGGCAUUGGCAGCGGUCCAAGUUCCUUGGAACAGGACGUCACAGAGGGUGAGAAUCCCGUACGUGGUCGCUAGCCUUUACCGUGUAAAGCCCCUUCGACGAGUCGAGUUGUUUGGGAAUGCAGCUCUAAAUGGGAGGUAAAUUUCUUCUAAAGCUAAAUACUGGCCAGAGACCGAUAGCGCACAAGUAGAGUGAUCGAAAGAUGAAAAGCACUUUGGAAAGAGAGUUAAAAAGCACGUGAAAUUGUUGAAAGGGAAGCGCUUGCAGCCAGACUUGCCUGUAGUUGCUCAUCCGGGUUUUUACCCGGUGCACUCUUCUAUAGGCAGGCCAGCAUCAGUUUGGGCGGUUGGAUAAAGGUCUCUGUCAUGUACCUCCUUUCGGGGAGAACUUAUAGGGGAGACGACAUGCAACCAGCCUGGACUGAGGUCCGCGCAUCUGCUAGGAUGCUGGCGUAAUGGCUGUAAGCGGCCCGUCUUGAAACACGGACCAAGGAGUCUAACAUCUAUGCGAGUGUUUGGGUGUCAAGCCCGAACGCGUAAUGAAAGUGAACGGAGGUGGGAACCUUUCGGGGUGCACCAUCGACCGAUCCUGAUGUCUUCGGAUGGAUUUGAGUAAGAGCAUAGCUGUUGGGACCCGAAAGAUGGUGAACUAUGCUUGAAUAGGGUGAAGCCAGAGGAAACUCUGGUGGAGGCUCGCAGCGGUUCUGACGUGCAAAUCGAUCGUCAAA